AUGAACGCUGGCGGCGUGCCUAAUACAUGCAAGUCGAGCGAACAGACGAGGAGCUUGCUCCUCUGACGUUAGCGGCGGACGGGUGAGUAACACGUGGAUAACCUACCUAUAAGACUGGGAUAACUUCGGGAAACCGGAGCUAAUACCGGAUAAUAUAUUGAACCGCAUGGUUCAAUAGUGAAAGACGGUUUUGCUGUCACUUAUAGAUGGAUCCGCGCCGCAUUAGCUAGUUGGUAAGGUAACGGCUUACCAAGGCAACGAUGCGUAGCCGACCUGAGAGGGUGAUCGGCCACACUGGAACUGAGACACGGUCCAAACUCCUACGGGAGGCAGGAGUAGGGAAUUUUCCGCAAUUGGCGAAAGCCUGACGGAGCAACGCCGCGUGAGUGAUGAAGGUCUUCGGAUCGUAAAACUCUGUUAUUAGGGAAGAACAAAUGUGUAAGUAACUAUGCACGUCUUGACGGUACCUAAUCAGAAAGCCACGGCUAACUACGUG
rnacentral:rRNA from 1 species